AUGAAAAAGGCAGUGCCUAAGUGUUUCCCUAAUUGCACGCACAGGAACUGUUUGUUUCACAUUCUAAAAAAAGCGCAAAACAAAGCAAGAAGAACAUUUGCAAGGAAUCAGCAUUUGAACGCUCAAUUUCAUGACAUAAUCCUAAACUCACAAACAGUUGAGGAGUUUGAGCAGCUCUGGCCACAAAUGACAGAGGAGUACAAAGUUCAACAUAUCGAGUACUUCGGAAUUAUGUGGAAAAACAGAAAGAGAUUUGUACCUGCGUUCUUCAAGAAUGACUUUUUCCCAUUCAUCCAAUCAACAGCAAGAAGUGAAGGAACAAAUGUUGUAUUCAAAGCAAAUGUAGGGUCAAGUCACAGUGUGAUUGCUUUCAUGACAGAGUUUGACAGGAUAUCACAAAGUAUUGAAGAAAAAAGAAAAGAAAAUGAUUCAGUAACAAGGAGAACAUCUCCAACUAUGUGGAGUGACUGGGCAUUGGAAAAACAAGCUGCAGAACUAUAUAACAGAGGCAUAUUCUACAAAUUUCAGCAAUAG
rnacentral:rRNA from 1 species